CCGAGUUUACAACUCCCAAACCCCUGUGAACAUACCAAUUGUUGCCUCGGCGGAUCAGCCCGCUCCCGGUAAAACGGGACGGCCCGCCAGAGGACCCCUAAACUCUGUUUCUAUAUGUAACUUCUGAGUAAAACCAUAA
rnacentral:misc_RNA from 1 species